UACGGGGGGGGUAAGCGUUGUUCGGAAUUACUGGGCGUAAAGGGCUCGUAGGCGGCCAACUAAGUCAGACGUGAAAUCCCUCAGCUUAACUGGGGAACUGCGUCUGAUACUGGAUGGCUUGGAUCCGGAAGAGGGAUGCGGAAUUCCAGGUGUAGCGGUGAAAUGCGUAGAUAUCUGGAGGAACACCGGUGGCGAAGGCGGCAUCCUGGGCCGGUAUUGACGCUGAAGAGCGAAAGCCAGGGGAGCAAACGGG
rnacentral:rRNA from 1 species